rnacentral:tRNA from 1 species
UGCGGGCUGGGCCAGCGGCCGGUCGCGAGUCUCAUAAGCUCGAUUAGGUGGGUUCAACUCCCACGCCCGCUACCA